CGCCCCUCUCAGGCCCGGAGCGAAGGGCCGACCAGGACAGCGUCACGGCUGGAGGUGACGCCGCAAGCCUUUAUGCCUUUCCUCGGGUGCUGAAGAUGAAAGAAUGCAGGCCCACGAGAGAGUUUGGCGCCGAGGAAGUAAGACGCAUGUAGGACCAGCAGGUGGUGCUUUUCUGAAACCCCGCUGCGAGAUCCAGCAGAAGCGGUUGAGCGCCUAGCUGGAUUUGGGGGUAUAGAGUAUUUGGCAAAGUACUACUUGUUCUCUUAACAAUAACAACAACAAAAAGGGCCUUCUAAGAUGUUCUAUUUUAUUCACCGUCUGAAGGGUUGAGCAAUUUAAUCAGAAAAAAUAGAUCUUAAUUUCCUUUUGGACCCAUUUUUCUUAGACUAGAGCAUAGGGGAGCUGGAGGGAGAGAUUAAGCAGCAUAAGAAUCUAAAACUAGGGGCGGCUGGGUGGCUCAGCCGGUUAAGCGGCCGACUUCGGUCAUGAUCUCGCAGUCCGUGAGUUCGAUCCCCGCGUCGGGCUCUGUGCUGACAGCUCAGAGCCUAUAGCCUGCUUCGGAUUCUGUGUCUCCCUCUCUCUCUAGCCCUCCCCCGUUUGUGCUCCUUCCUCUCUCUGUUCCCCAAAGCCAUCCUUUCAGUCACUCCUCUACUUGCCACCGUAUUUUAUUUUUUUUAUUCUCAAAACAGUUAACGUACAUUGUAGUCUUGGCUUCAGGAGUAGAACCCAGUGAUUCGUCACUUACGUAUAACACCCAGUGCUCAUCCCAACAAGUGCCCUCCUUAAUGCCCAUCACCCAUUUAACCCAGCCUCUACUCCCCUCAACCCUUAGUUUGUUCUCUAUAUUUAAGAGUCUCUUAUGGUUUGCCUCUCUCUUAUUUGUCCUAUUUUAAAUCAAUGCACCCCCUAUUCCCAGUAUUUCUUAUUCUCCUCCUUUACUUUUUUUCCUUCUAAUACUUAAAGUAUGAUUUAGUUGGCUUACUCAUCUUUAUUGUGUGUCUCUGCACACUAGAACAUAAAUUUCUCCAGGGCAGGAAUUUGUGUUUUCUUUUGUAUCCCAACUGCCAAAAAUAGAGCCUGACACAUUAGAGAAACUCUCUCUAAAUAUAUGUUGAAGGAAUGAAUAUGUGCAUACACAUUUAUAUCUCAAAUAAUAUGUAAAUGAAUACAAACUUGUUAUUUGUCAGCAAUUGCAUAUAAAGAGAAUUGGAUGUGUACAAUACUAUUCACCCAGUUUCCACCAGCCACCUGAAAGAUAGUGGUGGGUUUCUAUCUAUGAAUAAUAGAGUACAGCACCUCUUACCAUGGUCAGAAAUGUUUUGAAAGUGACUGGUUUCCAGUAUUUGUUAAAAUACCCAAACUUUCAAGUGAUUUAAAGAAAUAAAUCAGAGCCUAACAGAUACAGGGUAUCUCUGUAAUAAUAUUACUGUCACUAGCAUUCUAUUUUGCUUCAUUGAAUCAGAGGUAAAGGAGUUGCAACAGA